rnacentral:lncRNA from 1 species
AUGCUAAGAACGUGCUGGAAGUUGACAGUGUGUGCAAAGUCCCUGGUCCUGCCCCUGCAGAGACUGCACAGUCGGGGGCGCCUUCUUCCGGGAGUAACCUGUGCCCGCGCAAAGUCACACCACGCGGUUACUUGGUCUUUCGUUGCUGUCAGUUUUCAUGUGUGGCGAGACACCCGCACGACCACAUUGACGCGUAGUCCUAAGUGUAUCCGAAAGGUGUGCCCCGAACAACGGCAUGUUCCGUCUUGCAAAAUCGGACUCCUGUCCCCGAUCAACAACAGACAGGGCCUCGUCCCCGCCUCCGCGCUGCUCUCUGUCUCCGUGAAGCUGACGACCCGAGAGAGACUCAGGCGAGCGGAGUCAGACAGCGUUGUCUCUGCAUCACUGGCUUAUCUCUCUGCGCAUCCUGCCUCCGAGGCCCAGCCCAGCUGCAGCCUGUGCGAGAGGCCCUUUCUCUUCGAGGCGGGGCCGGGCUCCGCUGUGUGCGUGGACCACGCCGUGUUUACCAUCGUCCCCGGGGUGAAGCGGGCUGGCAGGCCAGGCUUGCUCACGGGACUAUUGCACGUCUGUGGGAAGAGAUGUGAGUUCAAGUGAAGGAAUGUGCGUGGGCACACUCGUGCGCCGAGAGCGGUGAUUAUGCUAACGAGCGUCCCGAGGAUGCGGCCCCACGGCUGCCGUCCUUCUGACUCAGGUUGAUCGGCCGCCUUCCGAGGUGCUGUCAGCUUUGCACGUGCUGUCCUUCAGCCCCAUUAUCUUCCCGUCUUGUUCGAGUGCAGUUGUUUUCCUGAGGCCUCAGGGUGGGAUUGAUUUACUGAGCCUGGUAAAUCCCAUCUGCUAGCUUCAGACUGUCAUUCUCACCUGCCGAGGUCAUUGUGGUUGUUGACUCUGUCAUCUGCCCUUCUGCCCUGCUCUCCUGGGUUUAUGUCCUCUUCAUAUUUGAUAUCUCUGUCCCUCCGUCCAUCCAUCCGUCUGUCCACCCAUCCGUCCGUCUGUCCGUCCGUCCAUCCGUCCCUCUGUCUGUCCAGCGACUUUCUAUAGUGUACCCUACUGUGUGCAGCCUCUGUGCUAAGCUCUGGGUACAGGGGUGAGCAGAACAGAAAGGAAUCUGGGUUCUCCUGGAGCUUUCACUGGGGUAGAGAAGACAGACACUAAACCAAGACGCACGGGUUACGGGGACGGCAUGGUACUGACAGGUGCCACAGAGAAAAGGGAAGCGGGGACGACGGAUGGGGUGGGGGCAGCCAGAGGAAACCGUGCGGAAGGGUGGUGUCCGCGCGGAGACUGGAGGGUGUUUCUAUCCAGUUCUUUGGAAAACACGGUGAAGAGGAACUCAGCCUCUCUGUAGGUUGACGUUGAUGCAGUAACAGCCUCUCUGUAGGUUGACGUUGAUGCAGUAACUGGCACCUUUGGGGUUCACCUGACUUUCCACUGAAACUCUAUACCUUCAGUGUCUAACCUGCAUUUCUCCACACUCUUCUGUUUUUUUUUUUUUUUUUUUUUUUUUACUUUUUAGGGCUGCGUGUGCGGCAUAUGGAAGUUCCCAGGGUAGGGGCCGAAUCAGAGCUUCAGCUGCCGGCACCACAGCCACAGCAACACCAGAUCCAAGCCGCAUUUGUGACCCACACCACAGCUCACGGCAACACUGGAUUCUUCACCCACUGAGCGAGGCCAGGGCUCGAUCCCGCGUCCCCAUCGUUGCCAGUUGGGUUCGUUACGGCUGAGCCACAGCGGGAACUCCUCUGCUUCUUAAAGACGUUUGAGGAACAUGGGAACCUGGAUGCUAGGCGUCCAGGGCGUUCUGGUGCCGGCCGGUCAGACCUUAGGGAGAUGAGGCCAGCGUGAAAGGCAGUUUUCCCCUUGUGGCCACGGCUGAGCCGGGACGGCUGCUGUGGCGGGGGUCGGGGACAGGACUCGUGGGCUGCAGCUAUAAACUGCAGGUGAAAAGACCAAAACUCCGGGAGAGUCAGGAUUUCCCUGGGGAAGGCUUGGCAGAGGUCCCUCUGCACAAACCCUCCCCUGGGGUCACCGUCUCAGUCCAAACCCAAAUCCGCCCCUCUCUGCAGGGCUUGGUUCCUGGAGGACGGAGCCUGUGCAAGGCCUGUUGGGGCUGCAGGGUGGCCCUGCCCAGGUGAGCAGCUGUUAUCUUCAGACUCACCUGCAGGCUGCAGUGUUGCCACGACUCUCUUCUCAUCCACACAUGGGGCUGGGCUCUCCGAGCCCAGGCUUGGCAGAGGCUUCAGGCUGAUGCCGAAUUCACACGGGAGGCAGAGCGUGUGAGGUGACCGUGCGCACGGAGCAUAAAGGUCACACAGGGCCCGCGUCAGGCCCCGAGUAAGCAAAGCGCCUCUUGGCUUCUCUGGCCCAGUUGCUUCAUCUGUAAAGUCCGUGGACCGGGCCAGGUUCUCUCCAGAGCUGCUUCUCCGCCCCUGAAAUUCCGGUGCUGUGCAUUGGUUUUAUUAGCGGCAACCGGGGCAGCAACACCUUAGACCCCGAUUUCGAAGAAACUUGUCACGACGGAGGAGGAGCACGUGACGUGAGGAGGGGCUGGGGCAGGACAGGACGCCGGGAGCUCAGAGGCCCAACAGGAGGCGCAGUCCCAGUUGGUGAGCAAGGCCAAGGGGUCGGGACGGGACCGCUGGAUUUGGCGGGAAAGCUCCACGGCGGCCACAGCGGGAUGGGGUGGCCUCCGAGCCUGCUGGGCAGCCGGACCCCGACCCCCCCCCCGGGGGGGUCUCCAGCGCUGCUCCCAGACCCAUUGGCACCGUGCGGGAGGAGAUGCAGGUGCUGUCUCCUUUCCAGAGGGCAGAGCCGUGCCACCUUCGUGCCGCCCUGGUCAGAAUGGCCCUUUGUUCUGCUGCUUCGUGACUCAUGACUCUGCCAUGAGGAGGCUUAUGCAACCUGGGGCGGCAGAGCCCGGGAGCAGCGUGCGAUCCUCGGAAAGCCGGCCCGGCCUGCCGUUGCGC